rnacentral:rRNA from 1 species
GGAGAGUUUGAUCCUGGCUCAGGAUUAACGCUGGCGGCGUGCCUGACACAUGCAAGUCGAACGGGUGCUAACUGCCCGCAAGGGUGGUUAGCGCUAGUGGCGGACGGGUGAGUAACACGUGGGCAACCUGCCUGAGAGUGCAGAAUAACCCUGCGAAAGCAGAGCUAAUACUGCAUGUGGUUGUCGGAUGGCAUCAUCUGACAACUAAAGUCGCAAGACGCUCUCAGAUGGGCCCGCGGCCUAUUAGCUAGUUGGUGAGGUAACGGCCCACCAAGGCUAUGAUGGGUAGCUGGUCUGAGAGGACGGACAGCCACACUGGGACUGAGACACGGCCCAGACUCCUACGGGAGGCAGCAGUGAGGAAUUUUCCGCAAUGGGCGAAAGCCUGACGGAGCAACGCCGCGUGAGGGAUGAAGUCUCUAGGGAUGUAAACCUCUGUUGGG